GAGAUGGAUUGUGGCCUUCGGGAACGUCUGACACAGGUGCUGCAUGGCUGUCGUCAGCUCGUGUCGUGAGAUGUUGGGUUAAGUCCGUAACGAGCGCAACCCUUGUCCUUAGUUACCAGCACGUUAUGGUGGGCACUCUAAGGAGACUGCCGGUGACAAACCGGAGGAAGGUGGGGGAUGACGUCAAGUCAUCAUGGCCCUUACGGCCUGGGCUACACACGUGCUACAAUGGUCGGUACAAAGGGUUGCCAAGCCGCGAGGUGGAGCUAAUCCCAUAAAACCGAUCGUAGUCCGGAUCGCAGUCUGCAACUCGACUGCGUGAAGUCGGAAUCGCUAGUAAUCGUGAAUCAGAAUGUCACGGUGAAUACGUUCCCGGGCCUU
rnacentral:rRNA from 1 species